rnacentral:lncRNA from 1 species
UGCUCCCCAAAGCUCCCAUUCACGCUGGGGUGUGGGGAGGGGGGUGCCAUCCAUCAACCAAACCAGGAGUGACGUGGACAGGAAUCAAUCUGUGAUGGACAUGGUCCAAGCAGGUAGAGAGUGGGCGGGGACCCUGGCCCUCUGGGGGUCGAGGAAAGCUCCACAGAGGAGUGACAAGGAUGGACAACAGGAUGCUGAGCUGGGCUAGUGAAUGUCAGGUGGAGGGGAGGAAAAAAGGAGGAAAGGAGGGAGGAGAGGGGAAGGAGGAAAGAAGGAUCAUGGCAAGAAGAGACAAGGGAGGGAGGAAGAAAAGCCUGCCCUGGCGUCAGGAGCCCUUUGUUGAGGAGGCAAAGGGAAUCCCAGCCUAUCCCAGGCAUGAUGAGGGUGUGAGGAG